AUUGAACGCUGGCGGCAUGCCUAACACAUGCAAGUCGAACGGCAGCACAAUAAAGAUUUCGGUCUUUAUGGGUGGCGAGUGGCGGACGGGUGAGUAACGCGUAGGAAUCUGUCCUGGAGAGUGGGAUAACCCGAGGAAACUCGGGCUAAUACUGCAUGACAUUGAGAGAUCAAAAGCAGGGGACCGAAAGGCCUUGCGCUCUGGGGUGAGCCUAAGUCGGAUUAGCUAGUUGGUGGGGUAAAGGCCUACCAAGGCGACGAUCCGUAGCUGGUCUGAGAGGAGGACCAGCCACACUGGGACUGAGACACGGCCCAGACUCCUACGGGAGGCAGCAGUGGGGAAUCUUGGACAAUGGGGGAAACCCUGAUCCAGCGAUGCCGCGUGUGUGAAGAAGGCCUUCGGGUUGUAAAGCACUUUAGGUGGGGAAGAAAGGUAGCGAGUGAAUAACUUUCUGCUGUGACGGUACCCACAGAAUAAGCACCGGCUAACUCUGUGCCAGCCGCCGCAGUAA
rnacentral:rRNA from 1 species